rnacentral:rRNA from 1 species
AGGGAUCAUUACUGAGUUUACACUCUAUAACCCUUUAUAAAUGUACCUUUAACUGUUACUUUAGCGGGUAGUGGCCUUACGGCCGCCCUUAGUCCUACUUACGCGGGGCGCCCGCUAGAGGUCUACUAAACUCUAAUUUAACGACGUUUCUUUUAAGUGACAUAAGUAAAUAAUUAAAACUUUUAAUAAUAGAUCUCUUAGUUUUAGUAUUAAUAAAGAAUACAGUAAAAUAUAAUAAGUAAUAUAAAUUACAAAAUUUAGUGAAUUAUCGAAUCUUUAAACGUACAUUGCGCCUACUAGUAUUCUAGUGGGUAUGCCUAUUUGAGCGUCAUUUUAACCCUUAAGUACUACUUAGUUUUAGGGCCUUACGGCUAACGUAGGCCCUUAAAGGUAGUAGUAGACCCUCCCGGAGCCUCCUUUACGUAGUAACUUAACGUCUCACACUAGGAUUUAGAGGGAAUCUUACUGUAAAACCCCCUAAUUUUUAUAAGGUUGACUUUAGAUUAGGUAGGAAUACCCGCUAAACUUAA